rnacentral:rRNA from 1 species
CCAACCGGGAUUCCCUGAGUAAGGGCGACUGAAAGGGGAUGAGCCCAGCGCAUAACCUCCCGGCGGUAACGUGGCCGUGGAGGGGUGUUGCGUUUCGGUGGAUCCGUACCGCUCGAGUUGCUGACCGCCUAAGUCAUUGCUUGAAUGCAGCCCCGAGGAGGGUGGUAGGCCCGUGUGGCGGCGCCUGUAAAAAGGUCCGAAGCAACUUGGGCGGAGGGGUCUUUACCGUAGAGUCGGGUUGCUUAGUACUGCAGCCCUAAGUAGGUGGUAAACUCCAUCUAAGGCUAAAUAUUAGCACGAGUCCGAUAUUUGACAAGUACCGUGAGGGAAAGCUGAAAAGGACUCUGAAGAGAGAGUUCAAGAGGACGUGAAACCAUUAGAAGCUGAAACGGGUGGAACCGUGAAGGUGGAAAGAGGGGAUUCAGGCUGUGGGCGGGCGCUUGGGCCCGAGGUUGGCUAUUUUGGAGAGGACCCGGCGUUAGAGUUGAUUGCCGCGGCCCCUCUGGCUUUGAGCGCCUGUCGGCGGGCUUAUUUCUCCCUCGAGUACUGGUGGUGGCGACCCGCUGUUUGGGCCCCGAGGGCCCUUAGGGACUGGUAGCCUGCAGCUUUGUUGUGGGUGAUGACCCUAGAGGGUACUGUUGGGGUUUGAACGGCGGUCACUGCAAGGAGGUUUUGCCUGCGUGAGUAGGCGAGACCUCUCGCCAUGUGAAAGGGAUCGG